CCGGAGAAGCCAUUAAGGAAUACGCGCACCACUUUCGAAAUGAAGCAUGAGACAAAAAAAACUUCGCCACUUAAAGGACCACUGCGACAUCCGAGAAUGAAAAUGCUACCCAUCUCCAAGCAGCAAACGCAAAUACCUGGAAGCAUGUCAACUGCGGCGUAGUCCCCGGAACCUGCUGUUAGAUGCCGAUCUUAUUUUGGUGCAGACCAAGUAUUAUUGUGCUAUUACAUUUAUAUUCUUCUAAAUUUUACUUAUUUGUUGUAAUAAAAUGCUAUAUUGUUUAA